AUGGCUGCAGUGGGGCAUUUGAUGCUGGGUGUGUUAUCAUCAUACCAAUGGGAUGCUGUAGUGAGGCAUUCGGAGUUGGGUGUCCUGUCAUCGUACCAACGGAUGGCUGCAGUGAGGCAUUUGGAGCUUGGUUCAUCGUACCAAUGGACGACUGCAGUGAGGCAUUCAGAGCUGGGUGUCCUCUCAUUGUACCAAUGGUUGGUUGCAGCGAGAAAUUUGGAGCUGGGUGUCCUCUCAUCGUACCAAGAGACGGCAAUAGUGAGGCAUCCAGAGCUGAGUUGCAUUGUUCUGAAUAGGUAUACACGUGAUUUGUCGGAACUCCCAGAUGACCCUGUGAGUAGUAGUACCAAAGGUUAG
rnacentral:rRNA from 1 species